GUCGCCACUUUCCGGACAGCGCCCGAAGGGCCGCCGAGGCCUCGGGCUCCGCCGCGGGACUCGCCUGAGUCCGGGAGCGGCGGCAGCGGCGGCGCCGGGGAUUGUGGGAAACGCGCGGCGAAAGCGAGGACGAGGGCGGCUGGCCGGCUCAUCUUCCUGGCUCUCCUCCAGGGCUCCGUGGCAGCAGGCAGAAGUCUGGCAGUGUGGGAGGAGACACAGAAGCCCAGAAGCCACGGAGAAGGGAGGUUUACUCUUAUGGAAAGAGAAAUCGAUAAAAGUUAACUUCAAGUCUUAGAGGGAGAGAGACGCCGGUGGUCACUUUCCAUGAUGAUGACUGCCAGACCCACAAUCCACUCAGCAAGGCUUCCAGAUCAAUCACCAGCAAGCCACUGGUGACCCCCAGCAACCUUCAAAAGGUAUGAUUCAGGAAUUAUCAGUGAGUUUAAGUCAGAUAAGAACUUGUUCUAUCUGUAGUGCUUUGAUUUUAAAGGAGAGUGCUGACAGCCACUCUUCAAGAUCUUUUCUAUAUAUAAAUGAUUGAGCAAUUUUGUGGUUUAUAAUUAGAACAAUGCAUGACAAUUUCUAGAUUGGAGUUCCAAGGUUACUCUUUUCUUUGGUCCAUCAAUGCUAAAAAGACGAAAGGUCAUCUUCUGAGGCUCCAUGGAUAGCACUCACCAGCCUGCUAAGUGGCUCACUCUGAAAGUUCUGGCUUUGAUGUUAUCCUUUAAAAGAGGCUGUCUUUUAUCUGGCAAAACCUGGAAUAGUUUG